rnacentral:rRNA from 1 species
CAGCAGCCGCGGGAAUACGAAGGGUGCAAGCGUUAAUCGGAAUUACUGGGCGUAAAGCGUGCGUAGGCGGUUUGUUAAGUCUGUUGUGAAAUCCCCGGGCUCAACCUGGGAAUGGCAAUGGAUACUGGCAAGCUAGAGUGUGUCAGAGGAUGGUGGAAUUCCCGGUGUAGCGGUGAAAUGCGUAGAGAUCGGGGGGAACAUCAGUGGCGAAGGCGGCCAUCUGGGACAACACUGACGCUGAGGCACGAAAGCGUGGGGAGCAAACAGGAUUAGAUAUCACCGUAGUCCCUGUCUCUUAUAC